rnacentral:tRNA from 1 species
UGGCACAGUGGUUAAAGCACUCAGCUGCUAACUGAAAGGUUGGUGGUUUGAACCCACC